CGUGUAGGCGUCUCGCUAAGUCAUGUGUGGAAGCCCCGGGCUCAACCUGGGAAAGACAUGUGAAACUGUCGAGAUAGAGUAUAGUUAAGGAGGGCGGAAUUCCUGGUGUAGCGGUGAAAUGCGUAGAUAUCAGGAGGAAGGCCAGUGACGAAGGUGGCCCUCUGGGCUAUAACUGACGCUGAGGCGCGAAAGCGUGGGGAGCAAACA
rnacentral:rRNA from 1 species